UCCCCUCCGCAUCCCUUUUUUUUGGGGGGGAUGCGCCACCGUGGGUCGGGGCGGGGUGGGGUGGCCGAGCAUCCCUCCCACCAUCCUCCCCCACCCCUCCCGCGGUUCCCGUAUCUCUGCCUAUUGAAUAUUUCUUUUCCAGUACCUCGGGUCAGCCGCUUCAGGGCGGGGUCCCCAGCCCGGCUCUGUAGCCGCUCGCACCCGCCGCUCCCCCGCCUCCUGCCCCGGCCCCGCUGCGCUGCCCCCGCCCGGGGAGGGAGGGAGGGAGGGAGGGAUGCAGGAACAAAGGGUCCCCGCCUGCGAGGCAGGGAGCCGGGAGCCUUCCUCCGCUUUUGGCAGGGUUUGGGAAAGGUUUGUGUGUUCCAGAUGCUCGGGUCCUGCUCUUUUUUCCUCCCCGAGAGAGCCCUGCCUUGCAGCCGGGCGCUCCCCCUUUGUUCUGCACAGCUACGGGGGCAGCCGCGGGGCCCCAGCCCGCUGCUCCAGGAGGGGACGCCUCAGACAAGAAGCGCAGAGCCGCGAUGUAACCUCCAAACCCGGCCCCCAGGCAGCAGCUGCUGCUGGCAACCAAACGUCCCCAUCCCAGCAAACCUCUCCCUCUAAAAUAAAGGCACCCGAGAAAUUUUGGAGGGCGGAGGGGAGCGGGGCAGACACUUUUCCUACCGGGAUCUGUGCAGUUUGCAUCCCUGCUAAAGGAAGCGACAAAUCAUGGAGGCGCCUUGCUCCGAGGAGACUUUUCUAUCUGCUCUACUUCCCACCCUACGGCGAGCAGCACGACUUGACAGGUGUCAUUCAUCCCUCUCAGCCUGCAGUACUUUGGAAGGGAUCCUGGAAAUGCCAAAAGCACUAAGUUUUGACAGCCCCGAGACAGGAAAAUCUCCAAGGAGUUCCUGUGUAAAACUGCAAAGAUCAGCUCAAGGAACUGGAUAUGGAUUUGCGAGACCUUGUGGAGAACUUCUGAACUAGAAGCCAGUGAAUGAAUUACAUUAAUUCACAUACAUUGUACUGUUUUGAUGGGAGGGGGUUGUUUGGUUGGUUUUGCCUGUGACAAUUAUAUUAUGUAGUUCAACACGUUGUAACAUUCAUCAUUCAAGAAACAGGCCUGGCAUCAUUCAGAAAAAAAAAAAAAAUACUCAACGGUAUCAAUAA